rnacentral:rRNA from 1 species
UACAGAGGGUGCAAGCGUUGUUCGGAAUUAUUGGGCGUAAAGCGCGUGUAGGCGGCUUUGCAAGUCGGGUGUGAAAGCCCUCAGCUUAACUGAGGAAGUGCGCCCGAAACUGCAUGGCUUGAGUACCGGAGAGGGUGGCGGAAUUCCCCCAAGUAGAGGUGAAAUUCGUAGAUAUGGGGAGGAACACCAGUGGCGAAGGCGGCCACCUGGACGGAUACUGACGCUGAGACGCGAAAGCGUGGGUAGCAAACAGG